rnacentral:rRNA from 1 species
UACGGAGGGUGCGAGCGUUAUUCGGAAUUACUGGGCGUAAAGCGCGUGUAGGCGGGAGAGCAAGUCUGAUGUGAAAGCCCCGGGCUUAACCUGGGAAGUGCAUUGGAAACUGUUUUUCUUGAGUGCUGGAGAGGAAGGGGGAAUUCCCGGUGUAGAGGUGAAAUUCGUAGAGAUCGGGAGGAAUACCAGUGGCGAAGGCGCCCUUCUGGACGGCAACUGACGCUGAGACGCGAAAGCGUGGGGAGCAAACAGG